rnacentral:lncRNA from 1 species
UGGUAAGUCCGCCUUGAAGUUCCUGCACCAGUUCCCCGUGACGUAGUGGUGGUAAGUCCACCUUGAAGUUCCUGCACCAAGUCCCCGUGACGUAGUGGUGAUAAGUCCACCUUGACGUUCCUGCACCAGGUCCCCGUGACGUAGUGGUGGUAAGUCCACCUUGACGUUCCUGCACCAGGUCCCCGUGACGUAGUGGCUGUAAGUACACCUUGAAGUUUCUGCACCAGGUCCCCGUGACGUAGUGGUGGUAAGUUCACUUUGA